AUUGAACGCUGGCGGCAUGCUUUACACAUGCAAGUCGAACGGUAACAGGGUGCUUGCACCGCUGACGAGUGGCGAACGGGUGAGUAAUACAUCGGAAUGUACCCAGUAAUGGGGAUAACGCUUCGAAAGGAGUGCUAAUACCGCAUACGCCCUGAGGGGGAAAGUGGGGGACCGCAAGGCCUCACGUUAUUGGAGCAGCCGAUGGCUGAUUAGCUAGUUGGUGAGGUAAAGGCUCACCAAGGCGACGAUCAGUAGCGGGUCUUAGAGGACGAUCCGCCACACUGGAACUGAGACACGGUCCAGACUCCUACGGGAGGCAGCAGUGGGGAAUCUUGGACAAUGGGCGAAAGCCUGAUCCAGCAAUGCCGCGUGCGUGAAGAAGGCC
rnacentral:rRNA from 1 species